AGAUAAACGUUGAAGAGGAUAAGUAGCAGCGGAAACGCCGCCUGCAGAGAGCCGGGAUUGCUGGGAACCGGUGACGGCCUCCGCUUGUGAACUCCCCUCUGAGUGUCAGUCUGAACGAUUUCCAUGUUUAGUAGGGCUGGCCGGGUGAACAUUACGAAGGUUCACUCGUUAUUAAACCGGAUAAGCGAUUAUCCAUAAGGCGGCUUUCAAAAGCCGCGAACAAGGGUGGUACCGCGGAAAGAAAAGCCUUUUCGCCCCUUUG
rnacentral:ncRNA from 1 species